AACGAACGCUGGCGGCAGGCUUAACACAUGCAAGUCGAACGCCCCGCAAGGGGAGUGGCAGACGGGUGAGUAACGCGUGGGAACAUACCCUUUUCUACGGAAUAGCUCUGGGAAACUGGAAUUAAUACCGUAUACGCCCUACGGGGGAAAGAUUUAUCGGGGAAGGAUUGGCCCGCGUUGGAUUAGCUAGUUGGUGGGGUAAAGGCCUACCAAGGCGACGAUCCAUAGCUGGUCUGAGAGGAUGAUCAGCCACAUUGGGACUGAGACACGGCCCAAACUCCUACGGGAGGCAGCAGUGGGGAAUAUUGGACAAUGGGCGCAAGCCCGAUCCAGCCAUGCCGCGUGAGUGAUGAAGGCCUUAGGGUUGUAAAGCUCUUUCACCGAUGAAGAUAAUGACGGUAGUCGGAGAAGAAGCCCCGGCUAACUUCGUG
rnacentral:rRNA from 1 species